UGAUUAUUUAAACGUCUUAUCGUUCAAAAGUGCAUCACAAAGUUUCUACUCCGCUCUAGCUCCUUUGCGGUGCAAUAGUCAACUGUUCACUUCCGGGAACUAUUGUGAGGCUCCAUGAACCGCCAUUUCUGUAUUAAAAAAACGGGACCAUUGGAGUGAACGGAGUUGUCGCUAAACGGCUCUGGUGUUUUUAAAACCGUGGGGGCGGGGCCUUACUUCUCAUCCUGGUACUUGCUACGUUGUCAGCAGCACGGAGCGAACAGGCUCUGGCUAUCGGUGAAACAGCUCUAAUGUUCGGGCAGCAGACCUGACCGUGUCCGUCCUCUUCUUACUGUGCUGGAAAGUUAUGUUGCUAAAAGACCUUCAGAUGAGGGUGAUGCCUUAUAUCUGUGGAAAGAGAACACCUUCUAAUGUUCAUCGUGGUGAGGAUUGUGGACUGACAGGCCACAGUAAAUCCGUGUGAAAGUACAAAGCCAACCAUCACUCUUGGAUGAGAACUAGUCGCCUGUCCAAGCUGGCCAUAGCAUGCCAACGGCAAAGGUUAAAGGUGGUCCUUCAUAUCACCGCUAUCGACCGGCCUCUGAAUAUGAUGAUGCCACCCUCGCCCAGAAGAGAGAGUAUUGGAGAAACAAGAAGAGGGAGCAGAGGGCCCGUGUAUCAGAGCACAGAGGAAAGCUAGCACUGGAGAGCCCUGGGAAAAAGCCUUCACUCAUAAACACACGGGGGGAUUGUGCUGUCCAAUGCUUCUUUGAUGCUCCUCCAACUAGGAAUAGAAAUGAAGUUGGGGACAGUUCACCUGAAACCAAUGAAAGCCAAAUGGGCAAAUGGUCCAACUCGAAAAAUCUCAACAACAACUUGUCUCAGUUGCCAGCAUCAUUUUCCAUCACUACCAAAGCUGCUGGAGUUGACACAGUCACAGCUACGCCUCCAUAUACAGGGACCAGAGCCAUCUACUCAGCCACAUCCAGUGAGACCCAGCUCCUCAGCAGAUCCUCAGUGCCUCCCGUCAGACUGAACAUGGUUACCAAUGGCAGCUAUAUUAAAACAAAACCUUACAGUCUGUCUAUGCAGGACACAUCCCUUCCCAAAUCCCAAGAUAUGGCACAAACUGCAUACUCUACAGGGAGCCUUUUUGUGUCCCGCUCAAGGGGCCCAGUUUCAGUAAAAACAGAGGUCGGUGCAUCAAACCCUACACCUCAAUGUGGAAAACGGAGUGCCUUGGUGUCCACACAAACCUGCCCUACCCUUAGCAAAAUGUCAGUGACAUCUGUAAAAAGGAUAGUGGAACCUCAGAGAAAGCUUCUAUAUUAUGGAACAGGAGGGAUCGUAAGGUGCAAAACACCCAGACAAAGGUUUAUUGAUGCCCAAAAAAAUGUAAUGCAUCAAAUUAACCUCAAGUUUAAGUCUCCAAUGUUGAGCAGCAAAGGUAUGCCGAAAAUUGACCCUGCUGCCACCCCUGAGCAAGUAAUAGCAAAACGGCGAGAGUACUGGCGGGACAAAAAGCGCGAGCAAAGAGCAAAGCUGUCAAUGGACAAGAAGGUUCGAUUGAAGGAGAAAGACUCUCUAAUGCGAAGAGUCAAACGUUAUCAGAAAAUCCUGGAGGAUAUGAGGAAGGCCAGAACACUGAUGCAUACCACAGGAGAAGCCCUGACUCACUCGGAGACCAUCGGAGGGUUCAUUGAAGAGGAUGGAACACUGACAAUGAAUGUGCUACGCAAUUCCACAGGUCACACAGGACAGAAAGUUUCUAAAAUCCAGCCUCACUGUAAACACAAAGACACUCCCUUUAUCAGGAUACCCCGCCCCUCGCCUCCACUUCAACCAGUUCAGGUCAGAGUCUCUGUUCCUCUUGCUGGACAUUUCACCAAAAAAUCUCAAAUGCUUACGUCAAUCAAAUCACAGGCUGAAAGCAUAACAGCUCCAACUGCACACACACACACCGGUGUUCAACUCAGGCUCAGCCGUCCUCAGAACACACUUUCUGGAGGAUCCCAAGCGGCCUCAAACCUUAGGGGUUGUGUCAUGAAAAUGGCUGUGUCAAGCCGUGCUCCGUCACUAUCAGCUUUGACCCUGCAUCCAGAGCUGACGGAGGAGGAGAGGAUGGCGAGGAGAAGGGAAUACUGGAGGAUAAAAAAGCGGGAACAGCGAGCAGCUCGAGCUGUCCGCCUAAAGCAGGGACUCAUACAGGUGAGGGCUAUGGCAGCUUUAGAAAAGAGAAAGGCUCAGAAGCGGGUCAGUCCCAUGGAGCCUACAGAAAAUGCACAAACUCUCCCAGACACAACAAAGCUGCCUAAUGUCAAUGUCAUCAAAACAGAGAGAGAGUGUUUGCCAACAACCGACCCAAGUACGCUAACAGAACAAACCACCUGUUCAGACACCAAACCACCACCAAUUCCACUUCUGGCUUCUCCACCAGAACCUGACCCAGCUCAGAGCUCAGACAGCCAAAGUGCCACCCUGCUGGCUGUGGCCUCCAUGAGGAAGCUGUUGGAGGAGUCACUCAGCACAGUGAGCGAGCAUAGAAGUGAGCAGUGGGACAUAAAAACAGAGACACCAGAUGAGGAUGAAGCUUUAGAGCAGGAUAUCAAGCCUGACUUGGCGCUCUUUGUAAAGGAGGAAGUUGCUCCCUUCUCUGCUGACCUGAUGCUGCUUCCGGUGGACACUGAUGUUUCAGAGCAGGUGGAUUUUCCAUGCCCUCAGAUCAAGAACUCACCCUCUACGUGUGAGACACCUCCCCCUCUUCAUCACUCUGCUAAAGUAGAAGAGCAUCCCACCUGUGAGCAGUCGUCCCACAGCCCAUCUCAUGUAAUGGCAACUCCAUCACUGGAAGCAUCUGAUUCCUCUUCUCCACCUGAAGCCCAGAUACUUCAAAGCUUCAGAUCCCCGGGUUCACUCAGUCCACAGCAGCUCACAGAAACCAAUCACUCUCAGCCACAGCAGCAGCCACAAACCACAGAACUACUGUGUAAAUUCCCAGAAGCAUCUCAAGACAAUCGGUCACCAACAACACAGGAGUGCGACUUGAGCGCGCUGAGUGGUCUGAGCAGCCUACAGAGGAAGAGGGAGUACUGGAAGCUGAUGAAGAGGCAGCAGAGGGCACGGCUAAGGGCCCAGCAGAGGGACAGACAAGGGGAAUCCAGCCACAAACUCCCCUACAGAGACAUCCAGGUUCCAGGCCUUGUCACGAUUAAGCCCAAACCACCUGUGGCCCCUCUGGCUGCCAUAAGCAGCAUGCCCAGUUUGCCCACCCUCCUGGUUGUCAGGCAUACACAAGAUGGCCAGCAGUCACCUGGGACUGUCCGAGUCAAACCUCCGGCCUUCAUCACAGAGCAGAAUCCCAUGGAAACCCUGCAGAGCUCGACAAGCCCUCCUGAACCUCCAAGGCUCUCUCACAGUUGGACACAUGGAGCAGCAGUCAUUGACGCAGUACCCUCUCUACCUACUCUCAAACCUCCAGAGAACCCAUUAUCCAGCAUCAACCUGCAGCCAAUUGAACCUUGCCAUAGUCCAGACAACUUUGUAAUCCCCAUGUCCUCUCAUCCUCAAAGCAACACAAACCCAGUACAAUCUCCAACCAAGCUGGUUCCAAUUAGCAAUAUGGUUCCUCCAAAGCCCAUCCGUGGAGAGUCAAAGGAGGACUUCAUGAAGAGGAAGAGAGAAUACUGGAGAAUAAAAAAGAAGGAGCAGAGAGCCAGGAAGGCCGUCCUCCACAAAAGGCCCUUCCCGACUAAGAACGUUUCCAGCAGCUACGAGACGGUCCUAUCUGAGCAGCAUCUGCUGACACAGGACGAUAAGUGGGUGAACUCCUCUGAGAGAUCAGAGCAUCUCAUCAGUGUGCCGAUGGAGAGCGACCCCGGAUCUUUUUCAUACUCAGAUUACACAUUGGAGGGAGAGUCGGAGCUUCUGCUUCCCGACUUCGCCAAUACCAACGGCGAAGACGCUCCUCUCUCAGAUGCCAUGUGGAGGAACCGCUUCCUCAUGGACUACGACCCGCUUAACCAGCUGCUGGUGUGCAUGGUGUGUGGAGAGCUUCAGUACUCUCACAGCCUGGAUGGAGUGAGGACCCACAUCGACGAGGCUCACCCACACACGCUCACCCUGGAGGCAGAGGAGAGGGAGCACAUGAUGACGUCCUGGGACGAGCAGGUAUCCCAGCGGGAACGCUUCUUCACCAGCCAGCUGCAGCAGCACAGCAGCGCUGUCACAGAAGCACACCUGAGCUGAGCAGCAGGAAACAAGAGCAUGACACCGAACCUAAGCCCACUCAUUGUCUUCUUUUCUCCUACUGCUGUUUGUUGGCGCGUACCCACAGCAGAAAGCUGCACAGUCUGAAUUCAGGCCACAAACCUUACCUCAUUUUAUUCUAAGGGUUCUAAUGUUGGAUCAAGCAGAUCUGUGAGGACACAGAUACUACUCAAGCACAGGCUUCAUUAGUCAAAGAAUCCCAAUGUACUGCUGUUUGCUGAUGAAACUUCAAUUUAUGUAAACAUGUUUAUCAUCUUCACCUUUUCUUUUGCAUUCUGCUGAAACAGCAGUUGGACUGAACAUCUUGUAACACUGUGAAGCGUAAAGAACAGCCAUAAGUGGAAGCGUGACGACUGCAUGCUGUGUCAUGCUCAGUGACAGGUAGGGACUGGAAAUAAUCGCAAGCCCAUAGGGUAUUUAUUAUUGAUAUGAUUUAAGUAUUUUAAAAAAUCAAUAAAACAAACUCGAGAACAGAGCA
ensembl:lncRNA uncharacterized LOC114480234